GGCGCGCGGUGGCAGCAGGCGAUGGCGGCGCCGGGCUGGGAGCGGGCGCUGCGGCUCUCUCUGUAUGCGCUGCACGCGGAGAGCUCGCGGGAGCGGGACCCCGGGGACCGGGCCAUGUGCGACCUGAGCCCCUCCGUCAGCUGCUCCAAGGUCUUCACCUCCAGUAAGAACAAAGGGGUCCUUCCCCACGGCAGAGGAUAGAAAAGGCCCUGGAAACCCCUCCAUUGGGGAGGAACUUGGCUACAAACUGAAGCUCUGACAAUGGACUGAAUGACCCAUCCAAAUCUCUAGAUGUACUCCAGAGACUUGAUUUGUGCCUGCAGUUUAUUCCAUCACUGCUACAAGCCUGAACCAAGAACUUUGCCAUUUCUGUAUGUAAUUGAUUCCUUUAAGAAUUUUAACUCUCCUCUCUAUUUCUUUCUUUUUAUGAAUAAACCUUUAGAUUUUAGAUGCUAAA